GUUUGAUCAUGGCUCAGAUUGAACGCUGGCGGCAGGCCUAACACAUGCAAGUCGAACGGUAACGGGAAGAAGCUUGCUUCUUUGCCGACGAGUGGCGGACGGGUGAGUAAUACUUAGGAAUAUGCCUUUGUGUGGGGGAAAACUAUUGGAAACGAUAGCUAAUACCGCAUAACGUCUUCGGUCGGACCAAAGGGGGCUUUCGGGCUCUCGCGCAAAGAGAAACCUAAGCGAGAUUAGCUUGUUGGUGAGGUAAAGGCUCACCAAGGCGACGAUCUCUAGCUGUUCUGAGAGGAAGAUCAGCCACACUGGGACUGAGACACGGCCCAGACUCCUACGGGAGGCAGCAGUGGGGAAUAUUGCACAAUGGGGGAAACCCUGAUGCAGCCAUGCCGCGUGUGUGAAGAAGGCCUUCGGGUUGUAAAGCACUUUCAGUUGUGAGGAAAGGGUAGCGGUUAAUACCCGUUAUCUGUACGUUAGCAACAGGCUAACUCCGUGCCAGCAGCCGCGGUAAUACGGAGGGUCCGAGCGUUAAUCGGAAUUACUGGGCGUAAAGCGCACGCAGGCGGUUUGUUAAGCUAGAUGUGAAAGCCCCGGGCUCAACCUGGGAAUAGCAUUUAGAACUGGCAGGCUAGAGUCUUGGAGAGGGGAGUGGAAUUUCUGGUGUAGCGGUGAAAUGCGUAGAUAUCAGAAGGAACACCAGUGGCGAAGGCGGCCACCUGGACAAUAACUGACGCUCAUGUACGAAAGCGUGGGGAGCAAACGGGAUUAGAUACCCCGGUAGUCCACGCCGUAAACGAUGUCAACUAGCCGACUGGAUCCUUGAGAUCUGGGUGGCGCAGCUAACGCAUUAAGUUGACCGCCUGGGGAGUACGGCCGCAAGGUUAAAACUCAAAUGAAUUGACGGGGGCCCGCACAAGCGGUGGAGCAUGUGGUUUAAUUCGAUGCAACGCGAAGAACCUUACCUACUCUUGACAUCCACAGAAUUCGCUAGAGAUAGCUUAGUGCCUUCGGGAACUGUGAGACAGGUGCUGCAUGGCUGUCGUCAGCUCGUGUUGUGAAAUGUUGGGUUAAGUCCCGCAACGAGCGCAACCCCUAUCCUUAGUUGCCAGCAUGUAAUGGUGGGAACGUUAAGGAGACUGCCGGUGACAAACCGGAGGAAGGUGGGGACGACGUCAAGUCAUCAUGGCCCUUACGACUUGGGCUACACACGUGCUACAAUGGCCAGUACAAAGGGUUGCGACCCCGCGAGGGUGAGCUAAUCUCAUAAAACUGGUCGUAGUCCGGAUUGGAGUCUGCAACUCGACUCCAUGAAGCCGGAAUCGCUAGUAAUCGUGGAUCAGCAUGCCACGGUGAAUACGUUCCCGGGCCUUGUACACACCGCCCGUCACACCAUGGGAGUGGGUUGCAAAAGAAGUGGGUAGACUAACCUUCGGGGGGUCGCUCACCACUUUGUGAUUCAUGACUGGGGUG
rnacentral:rRNA from 1 species